AGAGUUUGAUCCUGGCUCAGGAUAAACGCUAGCGGCAGGCCUAACACAUGCAAGUCGAGGGGCAGCGGAUGGAGUGCUUCGGUACUCCUGCCGGCGACCGGCGGACGGGUGCGUAACGCGUAUGCAACCUGCCUUCAACAGGGGGAUAAUCCGAAGAAAUUUGGUCUAAUACCCCAUAAUAUUCCGACAGGCAUCUGUCGGAGUUGAAAGCUUCGGUGGUUGGAGAUGGGCAUGCGUUGUAUUAGCUGGAUGGUGAGGUAACGGCUCACCAUGGCGAUGAUACAUAGGGGGACUGAGAGGUUUUCCCCCCACACUGGUACUGAGACACGGACCAGACUCCUACGGGAGGCAGCAGUGAGGAAUAUUGGUCAAUGGACGCAAGUCUGAACCAGCCAUGCCGCGUGCAGGAAGACGGCUCUAUGAGUUGUAAACUGCUUUUGUACGAGGGUAAACGCUCUUACGUGUAAGAGCCUGAAAGUAUCGUACGAAUAAGGAUCGGCUAACUCCGUGCCAGCAGCCGCGGUAAUACGGAGGAUCCGAGCGUUAUCCGGAUUUAUUGGGUUUAAAGGGUGCGUAGGCUGUUUUUUAAGUUAGAGGUGAAAGCUCGACGCUCAACGUCGAAAUUGCCUCUGAUACUGAGAGACUAGAGUGUAGUUGCGGAAGGCGGAAUGUGUGGUGUAGCGGUGAAAUGCUUAGAUAUCACACAGAACACCGAUUGCGAAGGCAGCUUUCCAAGCUAUUACUGACGCUGAGGCACGAAAGCGUGGGGAGCGAACAGGAUUAGAUACCCUGGUAGUCCACGCAGUAAACGAUGAUAACUCGUUGCCGGCGAUACACAGUCGGUGACUUAGCGAAAGCGUUAAGUUAUCCACCUGGGGAGUACGUUCGCAAGAAUGAAACUCAAAGGAAUUGACG
rnacentral:rRNA from 1 species